rnacentral:rRNA from 1 species
GUGGAUUAGAUACCCUGGUAGUCCACGCCGUAAACGAUGGAUACUAGCUGUUCGGAGCAAUCUGAGUGGCUAAGCGAAAGUGAUAAGUAUCCCACCUGGGGAGUACGUUCGCAAGAAUGAAACUCAAAGGAAUUGACGGGGGCCCGCACAAGCGGAGGAGCAUGUGGUUUAAUUCGAUGAUACGCGAGGAACCUUACCAGGGCUUAAAUGGGAGACGACAGGACUGGAAACAGUUUUUUCUUCGGACGUCUUUCAAGGUGCUGCACGGCCGUCGCCAGCU